rnacentral:rRNA from 1 species
GUACACUCCUGCGGGAGGCAGCAGUGGGGAAUAUUGGACAAUGGGCGCAAGCCUGAUCCAGCCAUGCCGCGUGAGUGAUGAAGGCCCUAGGGUUGUAAAGCUCUUUCACCGGUGAAGAUAAUGACGGUAACCGGAGAAGAAGCCCCGGCUAACUUCGUGCCAGCAGCCGCGGUAAUACGAAGGGGGCUAGCGUUGUUCGGAUUUACUGGGCGUAAAGCGCACGUAGGCGGACUAUUAAGUCAGGGGUGAAAUCCCGGGGCUCAACCCCGGAACUGCCUUUGAUACUGGUAGUCUUGAGUUCGAGAGAGGUGAGUGGAAUUCCGAGUGUAGAGGUGAAAUUCGUAGAUAUGCGGAGGAACACCAGUGGCGAAGGCGGCUCACUGGCUCGAUACUGACGCUGAGGUGCGAAAGCGUGGGGAGCAAACAGGAUUAGAAACCCUAGUAGUCCC